GACAGAGGGUGCAAACGUUGCUCGGAAUCACUGGGCGUAAAGGGCGUGUAGGCGGGUAGAUAAGUCGGGCGUGAAAUCCCUAGGCUCAACCUAGGAACUGCACUCGAAACUGUUUAUCUUGAGUGCCGGAGAGGAAAGCGGAAUUCCUGGUGUAGAGGUGAAAUUCGUAGAUAUCAGGAGGAACACCAGUGGCGAAGGCG
rnacentral:rRNA from 1 species